rnacentral:lncRNA from 1 species
AUUUAUAUUUCUAGUUACGUGGAACGAGGCGGGUACAACGGUCCCUUCCUGGACCACCCGGCCCCCGUCUACGGUGUACCGACCUACUACAAAGAACCGGAGCCGAUAAUCGAGAUCAUCAUCAAAGAAUCGAACGAAUCCCUACCAGCCCCACCCACACCUCCCACCCCACCACCAACCCCACCCACUAAGGAGCCCGUCCAGGUCUUCUACGUCAAGUACAAGAAGAACCCCAACAGCCACGGCAAAGAGGAUGACGUCAUCUACGAUCCGCCUAUCCCAGCCCUAAGUCCCCACACCCACGACAUCGUCGAACCUUCCCACCAGCCAGCGCCCCCGGUCCCAACCUACGGCGCGCCCCCCGCGACGGUAGCCCCGCCCCCUAGCACCACCAUCAAAGCCAUCAUCAGGCCAGAUUCGGAGACGUAUCACGGGACCUCCGGGUUGCGGAUUUCCUUUGGGAAACCUGACGAGAGCGGCCACGACUUCGCAUCGUACCACCGGGCAGCCAUCGCCGAUGGCCCGAUUGAAGCCCAGAAGCGUGACUCCAUCAGCGAGCAGAGCGAGCCUCACUUCAGCCAAGUAUCCAGUUCGAGCCCCGUGGAGUUGACUGAAAAACCGAGCUUGGCCAUAGUCACGCCUCACGCUCACAAACGGCAGCAAACCGAGUUUCAGCCUCAACCCACCCCGGAGGUCAAGUUCACGCGGCAGGAGCCUUUCAUCCCCUCGCAACCCCACAUUGAGACCUACCAAACACCGCCACCGGUCACCUUCCAGCAGUCACAACCCCAGCAAAGGGUUGUUUUCCCGGGGCAACAACCACCCUUCAGGCCCCAGCAUACGAAUAACGUCUUCAACAACAGGCAGAACCAGCCUCAGCAACAGACUCAAAGAAACCCACCUCCGUUCUUAGGGCCGUUCAACCCCAAUCAACGCCAGCAAACCCCGUUCAUUCCCCCACCCAAUCAACAGAGACCGAACAGCCCUCAACCGACCGGCCAGAACCAGGUGCACCGACCCUUUGUGCCUCCCCAACAAAAUCAGCCCCACAGUUCCCGGUGCCGCAUGCUUCGAACUAUCAUCCCCAGGUGCAACCACAGGGUAAUUUCCAGUUCGGACCGCGCCCGAAUUUCAACCCCAACCAGCAGUUCGUCCAACCGAACCCCAACCGUCGAAUAUCUCCCCCAGCAUUUGAACCACCAACCAAACUUCAACCAACAAUUCACCCCCCGCAGCGGCAACCUGGGUUCACUCCUCACCACCAGUUCAACACCCAGCCCCAGAAUCAACAGUUCAACCAGCAGAACCAACGGAUCCAACAGCGUCCGAACCCGCAGCAGUUCCAACCCUCGUUGCCUCGCCUCAGUUCAACCCCCCAAACCAGCACCCCCAACAGAACUUCGGGCCCCCACAACAGCAGCCGUCAAAUAA